AAGCGGUGGAUGAUGUGGUUUAAUUCGAUGCAACGCGAAAACCUUACCACCUUGACAUGUACGGAAUCCUUUAGAGAUAGAGGAGUGCUCGAAAGAGAGCCGUAACACAGGUGCUGCAUGGCUGUCGUCAGCUCGUGUCGUGAGAUGUUGGGUUAAGUCCCGCAACGAGCGCAACCCUUGUCAUUAGUUGCUACAUUCAGUUGGGCACUCUAAUGAGACUGCCGGUGACAAACCGGAGGAAGGUGGGGAUGACGUCAAGUCCUCAUGGCCCUUAUAGGUGGGGCUACACACGUCAUACAAUGGAUGGUACAAAGGGUCGCCAACCCGCGAGGGGGAGCCAAUCCCAUAAAGCCAUUCGUAGUCCGGAUCGCAGUCUGCAACUCGACUGCGUGAAGUCGGAAUCGCUAGUAAUCGUGGAUCAGAAUGUCACGGUGAAUACGUUCCCGGGUCUU
rnacentral:rRNA from 1 species